GCCUGUGCAAGGGCAGGGGCCUGCUGGGCCUGCUGCAGAGCUGAAGCGAAGGCUGGAGCCAGCAGUGGAUCAGCUGUGUGACAAGGGCAGUUGCCUGGCUUGCUUCACAGUGCCUGAACCUUGAGCAGGCUGUGCAAGGGCAAGGGGCUGCUGGGCCUGCUGCAGAGCUGAAGCGAUGGCUGGAGCCAGCAGUGGAUCAGCUGUGCAGUGUGGCGAGUUGGCCUGAUUUGCUUCACUGUUUACUUUCUCCUUUGGCAAAAGAGAAUGGUUGAGGUCUGUCAGAAGUUGUCCCAGGACCUGCUGUUAUUUCAGUGUUCUAGGUGAAAGCUGUCUCCUGCUAAUGAUGUCCCUCUCCAUGCUGCUGCCUGUGAUCCCUUGUCCAAGCUACAGCAUCCACAUCAUCCUGCAACAGCUCUUUGGUCUUUUCUCAGAGCUAGCAGGGAAUGAUAAAUUGGUCUCUUGCCAACUCACAGAUGAAGGGUGUUACAUUUUUUUUUCUUUGUAUGAGACAUUUAAUCAGAAUGGAUUCUGGAACUUGUAUGUUUAACAUAAUUUGGUGCUUUUGUCUGCUGGGGCUGUCUGUGUUCACCACCUGGCAACUUAUGUUACCUUGUCGGUAUCAUGCAAAGUAUAGAGGUCUUAAGAGCUAUUCUCAUGUAUGGGAUGAUGGCCUUUGUGUAAGGAGAGGGGAUUCAAGUCUUGGUUCUCCCCUAUCAUUCUGAAAGCUUUAGUAAAGUAUCAUCUCCAUGUGAAGUGAGAAAGGUACAUUGCGGAUGCUGCAGUGCAGUCUGUUUUUGUACUUUUUAGAGCCUAUUUUUAAUAAAACCCGAGUACUCUGAACUCA